AGCGAACGCUGGCGGCAGGCCUAACACAUGCAAGUCGAACGAACUCUUCGGAGUUAGUGGCGGACGGGUGAGUCACACGUGGGAACGUUCCUUUUGGUUCGGACUAACUAAGGGAAACUUGUGCUAAUACCGAAUGUGCCCUUCGGGGGAAAGAUUUAUCGCCAUUAGAGCGGCCCGCGUCUGAUUAGCUAGUUGGUGAGGUAACGGCUCACCAAGGCGACGAUCAGUAGCUGGUCUGAGAGGAUGACCAGCCACACUGGGACUGAGACACGGCCCAGACUCCUACGGGAGGCAGCAGUGGGGAAUCUUGCGCAAUGGGCGAAAGCCUGACGCAGCCAUGCCGCGUGAAUGAUGAAGGUCUUAGGAUUGUAAAAUUCUUUCACCGGGGACGAUAAUGACGGUACCCGGAGAAGAAGCCCCGGCUAACUUCGUG
rnacentral:rRNA from 1 species